rnacentral:rRNA from 1 species
CCUACGGGUGACAGCAGUAGGGAAUAUUGCUCAAUGGGGGAAACCCUGAAGCAGCAACGCCGCGUGGAGGAUGAAGGUUUUAGGAUUGUAAACCUCUUUUGUGAGGGAAGAUAAUGACGGUAUCCAAAGAAUAAGGCCCGGCCAACGUCGUGCCAGCAGGCGCGGUAAUACGGAGGGUGCAAGGGUUAAUCGGAAUUACUGGGCGUAAAGAGUGCGGAGGCGGGAUGGGAAGUCAGAUGUGAAAUCCUGAAGCUUAACCACAGAACUGCAUUUGAAACCAUGAGACUAGAGUACGGGAGAGGUAGGUGGAAUUCGUGGUGUAGCGGUGAAAUGCGUAGAUAUCAAGAGGAACACUAAUUGCGAAGGCGACCUACUGGACCGUAACUGACGCUGAUGCUCGAAAGCGUGGGGAGCAAACAGGAUUAGAUACCCCUGUAGUC